rnacentral:rRNA from 1 species
AGUGAACGCUGGCGGUAGGCCUAACACAUGCAAGUCGAACGGCAGCACAGUAAGAGCUUGCUCUUACGGGUGGCGAGUGGCGGACGGGUGAGGAAUACAUCGGAAUCUACUUUUUCGUGGGGGAUAACGUAGGGAAACUUACGCUAAUACCGUAUACGACCUACGGGUGAAAGCAGGGGAUCUUCGGACCUUGCGCGAUUGAAUGAGCCGAUGCCGGAUUAGCUAGUUGGCGGGGUAAAGGCCCACCAAGGCGACGAUCCGUAGCUGGUCUGAGAGGAUGAUCAGCCACACUGGAACUGAGACACGGUCCAGACUCCUACGGGAGGCAGCAGUGGGGAAUAUUGGACAAUGGGCGCAAGCCUGAUCCAGCCAUACCGCGUGGGUGAAGAAGGCCUUCGGGUUGUAAAGCCCUUUUGUUGGGAAAGAAAAGCAGCAGGUUAAUACCCCGCUGUUCUGACGGUACCCAAAGAAUAAGCACCGGCUAACUUCGUG